GUACUUGCUUCAGCAGCACAGAUACUAAAAUUGGAAUGAUACAGAGAUUAGCAUGUCCCCUGUGCAGUGAUGACAUGCAAACCCAUAAAAUAUUCCAUAUUUUA
ensembl:snRNA U6 U6 spliceosomal RNA